rnacentral:misc_RNA from 1 species
CGUCCGACAAUUGGGCCUCCAGGCCGAUAUGGGUCCCUUCUAGUGAUCCGCCGUCCAUGAAUUCUAGCAAGACUUGGAUCUCCCCACUUUGCUCGUAAAAUUCGUGGCAUUUAACCACGUUUGGGUGAUCGACGCCUCGGAGAAUCUCGAUCUCGCGGCAGAUCUGGUUCCUCACCGAGUCCUCAAGGUUUCCAUAUAUCACUUUCAGCGCGUAAAGCUUCCCCGUCGGACGG